CCAGCAUCCUGUCUGUGGCUCCUUUACUUCCUGUUAAAUCUUCUCCAGUUUCUCCCUGUCCUGGGUUGAGUGUAACCCCCUGGUGAGGAGUGGAGAGAAGACACACAUGGGUUCUUGCUUGCCUGGUCUGCUACCUCACAGAACCUCAGACCCCUUCCCAGGUGUAGCAAUAGUCUUCCAGAAUAUUCUUCACGCAUCUCAUCAACACUGAGGGCCUAUCUUCUGUGGUUUGGAUCUGAGUGUUCCCCAAACAUCUGUGGGUUAAAGGCUUGGUCCUCCGUGUGGUGCACUGACCUAAUAGAAACUCUUAAGGUCACUGGGGUCAUACCCUUCAAGGGGGUGUAGGAUCCCAGUCCUCUCCUCACUCCCUUUUGCUCCCUGACCAUGAAGUAAGAAGUUCAGGCUCUUGCUAUAAUCUGCUGUGUUACCCAGAUCAACCAAUCAUGCAUGGACUGAAACCUCUAAAACUGUGAGCCAAAGUAAACCUUUUAUCUUUAUAAA